AUUUCAAUUUUAAAGCCAAAAAAUGGCAUUUUUCCACCAAAGGGAGAUAAUUUGGAACUUUUUCAAUGAUGUAUACAUUUUAAAAGUCAUCUGGGGCCAACACGAAUUGUUUGUUUUGAAUAAUUUUUGUACCAUAUAAUAAGUAACAACUACAAAAGGUAACAAAUAAAAUUUGAAAUAAAAAACAAAUGUUUAUUUUUUUUCUGAAAUUUUUAUACCCUCGGGGCCUCCUUAACUACCUUUACAUAAGGCUCCGUACCAAUACAAGUUUUAAACAAUCUAUAAAAUCUUAAUUUAUUACCAUUGACAUUAUUUUUAUCAUUCCAUACUUCAUGGUGCCAAGAUUCUUUUUCAAAAGUUUGUAUAGAGUCCCAUACAUUACUCAUAUUAAUUUCACCUUCUACAUUUAUAAGCAAACUAUAUUUACGAGCUAACUGUAAAACUCUAUAAUCCCAUGACGAUUUUCUUCUAAUCGCCCAGGUAUGAACCUUUUUACAUAUAUUACUGGUAUUAUCACAUUUAAGACGAUUCCAUAGUUUAAAAACUUCAACUUUUAGUAGUGCAUCACCUGAUAAAAAACCCAUAUCACCUCUAGCAGCUAAGUUGCUGCUUCUUUUGCUUAAGCCUAAGAAAAAUUUACAAGCAUUGUUUUGCAAAUUAUUUAUACAAUUAUGUAUAUUAAUGCCCCAUACACCGGAAGCAUAUGUAAAAAUGGGUUUGACUAAAGUGUCAUAUAAUUUAGUAAAUACAUCAAAAUUCAUACCACCAGUUUUACAAAAUUUUGCUUUAAUAACACCAAGA
rnacentral:lncRNA from 1 species